GGAGGGUGCGAGCGUUGUCCGGAUUUAUUGGGUUUAAAGGGUGCGUAGGUGGCUUUAUAAGUCAGUGGUGAAAUACGGUUGCUCAACAAUCGAGGUGCCAUUGAUACUGCAAAGCUUGAAAUAAUUGGAGGCUGCCGGAAUGGAUGGUGUAGCGGUGAAAUGCAUAGAUAUCAUCCAGAACACCGAUUGCGAAGGCAGGUGGCUACGAUUUGUUUGACACUGAGGCACGAAAGCAUGGGGAGCAAACAGGAUUAGAUACCCUGGUAGUCCAUGCUGUAAACGAUGAGGACUCGCUGUUUGAUGGCAACAUUGAGCGGCUUAGGGAAACCGUUAAGUCCUCCACCUGGGGAGUACGCCGGCAACGGUG
rnacentral:rRNA from 1 species